CGUCGGCUGUCGGCUGGGUGGGGACGUAACAAAGCGACCCAGGAAUGCUUGGGCGUGCCUCCACCCACGCCGGCGUCGGCGGGCGUAUUUCGCCUCACAGUAGGUCGCCGCGACCCGUUGCUUUCGGGGACGUCUAAGGCCCGGACGGAUUGGUACCCUAUCGGCUGGGGAUGCGGCUUCGGCUUCUCCUCUUGUCCGGUGGGCGAAACCGCCGGUGUCCUGGCUGCCCUGCGACGGUCGUAGAGACGAGCCCUCCCCUCAUUCGUGUGGGGGGCGGCUCUCGCGGCGUGCAAAAGGUCGGUGAUCCACCCGACCCGUCUUGAAACACGGACCAAGGAGUCUAACAUGUGUGCGAGUCAGUGGGCGCACUAAACCCAGAGGCGUAAUGAAAGUGACACGGGUUCGGCUGUCGCCUCGUGUGGCAGCCGGACUCAGGGCCGAUCCCUCACCGGUUGGCCUCGCCUCUCUUCCGCGUCUCGGUAAGCCGGGUGAGCUAUUUUCCCCGGCCGCUGCUGCGGGGCUCGGGGGGA
rnacentral:rRNA from 1 species